rnacentral:rRNA from 1 species
UACGGAGGGUGCGAGCGUUGUCCGGAAUCACUGGGCGUAAAGGGUGCGUAGGCGGUUCUUUAAGUCAGGGGUGAAAUCCUGGAGCUCAACUCCAGAACUGCCUUUGAUACUGAAGAUCUUGAGUUCGGGAGAGGUGAGUGGAACUGCGAGUGUAGAGGUGAAAUUCGUAGAUAUUCGCAAGAACACCAGUGGCGAAGGCGGCUCACUGGCCCGAUACUGACGCUGAUGCACGAAAGCGUGGGGAGCAAACAGG